UACGUAGGGGGCAAGCGUUGUCCGGAAUCAUUGGGCGUAAAGAGCGUGUAGGCGGUUCGAUAAGUCGGCUGUGAAAGUCCAGGGCUCAACCCUGGAAUGCCGGUGGAUACUGUCGGGCUCGAGUCCGGAAGAGGCGAGUGGAAUUCCUGGUGUAGCGGUGAAAUGCGCAGAUAUCAGGAGGAACACCAAUGGCGAAGGCAGCUCGCUGGGACGGUACUGACGCUGAGGCGCGAAAGCGUGGGGAGCAAACAGG
rnacentral:rRNA from 1 species